CCUUAAGUAUGAGCAGCACCUGUGAAUUAACUCUAAGCACAUUUAACAGUGUUAAUGUUUGGGGUCUGGAGCCUAGGCCUCAGGAGUCCUUUCAGCCUCUGUCUUCCCCCACUUGGAAUCCUGCCCUGAGACUUCCAUGAACAGAAGCUGGUUCAGCCUCCAUGAGGAUAAAAAGCCUUGUGGAGGGAAACCAAGGUGCCCCAGACAACGGCCAGCAACAACUGCCAGGGUCUCAGGCCAAUGGACCAGUAGCCUGUGAUUCUGAUGAGCGCUCUGAAAACAGGUGAAAACUGUUCAUCCCUUCUUUGGCGUCCUCAUCACAGGUGGUAGAAUUGAACUGCUCCUAGCAGAACCUGGGAAGAAAUACCUCGAGUCAGUUUGUUUUCUGAGUUCUGCCACGGUUAACGGACUUCCUGUGCAGGAGAUGCAGCUGUAGCCUGGCCACAGAAACAGAAGCAUACAGUUUCCACCUCUGACAAUGAAAGCUGGGCCUCGUGAGAGCUGGGAAAACCUGGGUCUGAAUCUUCCCACUUAGCUCGAAGCUCCUGUCUGGACCACAGCAGCCAAUUCUCACAACAUACAGUAGGAUCACGGCGUGAAGAGCACUGACUUAGAAGCUGCAUACGAACACGGCAAAUGACCAGAGAGCAGACACACCAGCUCUGGUGGGACAGCGUUCCUUGGGGAAAACACAGAGACAGGAACAGAUGCUGAAGAUGAACAGCAGGGAUCUCUUGGGAAAAAAUAUAUCUUCAAACAAGGGAGAUCCAGAAAAGCUUUUGUCUUCCAGGCUAGACUAUAGCCUUCUAUGGCCAAGAUGGAAACAGUAAACCAGUUAUCCAAGGUCAAGCUGGGAGAACAUGGCCUCUGCAGAAGAACCCUGCUACCUGCAGCCUGUGAAAUGGUCUAGAAUCCCAGCAGCCCUGGCAAUGCCACAUGCACCAAGAUAGGCGCCACCAUCCAAUGACAUCUUGGCAGUCAGAGGGAGCUUGUGACUGUCAUCUGGAGGUGUGACAGCCAAGAGUGUGGCCCUGGGGAAAGCCCUUCACAUGGGUCUUUCCUUGUUGCAUUUAUAUUUAGCUCAAAUGAAAACCUAACAGUUGUUUUCCUCAGUGGUGGGUACCAACCACUAACUCAAAAGGAUAAGAAAUAAUUGUUAACCAUGCUUCCUGUUAGGACUUGUAGUCCUUGAAUUUGGGACCACAUUUCUCUAACAACUGGCUUCCCUCUACCUUGCCCAGGGGAUGUGCAGAAAUGUUUGUUGUAUUGAGUUAUUUUGAAGAAGAUAAGAGAGAAAAGACUUGAAUUCUGGUUCUCAGCUUUUUUUAAAAAAAAGUUUCUAUAUUUUAAUUUCCUAAAUUAAGAAGUAUUUCAUAUUGCAUUUGCAGUAGAUAAGCAAUGAGAGUCUGCUGAAUAGCACAGGGAACUAUAUCUAGUCCCUUGUGAUGGAACAUGAUGGAGGAUAAUGUGAGAAAAAGAAUAUACAUAUAUAUAUGUGUAUGACUGGGUCACUUUGCUGUAUAGUAGAAAUCGACAGAACACUGUAAAUCAACUAUAAUGGGAAAAAUAAAAAUCUUUAAAAAAGGGAAAUAUUUCAAACAUAUAGAAAGGACAGAAAAUUAAGCAGACCACCAUAUGCCUACCAUCUAGAUUAAACAGCUAUUAACAUUUUCCAUUUUAUGUUAUUAUUUAGGGCUGCACCCCUGGCAUAUGGAGGUUCCCAGGCUAGGGAAUGAAUCAGAGCUGCAGCUGCCAGCCUACACCACAGCCACAGCAACGUGGGAUAUGAACUGUGCCUCUGAACUUCAUCACAGCUUACUGGUAGCAAGGCCAGAUCCUUAACCUACUGAGUGAGGCCAGGGAUGGGACCUGCAUCCUCAAGGAUACUAGUCAGUUUUGUAAUCUGCUGAGCCACAACAGGAACUCCCAACGUUUUCCCAUUUAUUUUAGGUCCUGUGUAACAAAAGAUUAAAAAGAAAAUACAACUAGCCAGCUCCCCCCCACCUCCUUCACUCUUAUCCCUUCUCCUUCCCUCUGUAGAACUGUCUCUGCCUCCAGUUGGUAUAUGCUGUUCCUGUGCAUGAUUCUGGACUUUCACUAAGUAUCUGUGUGCAAAACAACAUUUACUAUCAUUUUAUGUACAUUCAGAACUUACUUAAAUGGCAUCAUGGUGUUUACAUUCUUUUGCAACUUUCUUUUCUUAUGUUAGGGUUAUAUGGAUACAGUGUAGACCCAGUGCAUUCUUUCUAACUGCAGCCUAGUACAUUGCAAUUUCUCCAUUUCUCUGUUGAGCGACAGGACAGUUAGUUGCUUUUCUGUGGUUGUUCUUGCAUUGUUGUUUCUUGUGCAUGUAUCUUUGCACAUGUACAAAAUUUCUUUAGUGUAUACCUAGAAGUGAAAUUGUCCUGUGUUAUGGAAUGUACUUCUUCCUUUCUUCAAUGUUGACAGAUCACUCUCCCAAGUGGUUGUACCAACUCACAUUCCUACCAGAUUGGAAAUUCCUAUUUUCCUGCAUCCUCACCAUCUCUUGUGAGACUUCAAAUUUUCCAAACUGUUAGAUGUAAAAGGCAUUUUAUUGUCUUAUUUUAUACUUUCCUGAUUACAUAUAGGAAUUCUGUGUUUGCUAACCAGUUGUGAGUGUGUGUGUGUGUGUGUGUGUGAGUGAGGGAGAGGAAAAGGGACAGAAAGACCACUUCUAAUCCUUUCCUCCUUAAAACAAAACAAAACAAAAACUGGUUUAUCCUUUUCUCAUACAUUUGCAUCUGUCCUGUAUUUAUUCUGAAGUUAUUGUUUGAAUUGCAAAUAUCUUCUCUCAAACUGUGUCUAGCCUUUUUAUUGUUUAUAUUAGCCUCUGUUAUAAAUAACUUUUUAAAUUUGAUGCAGUCAAAAUCAUAAACCCUUUAAAGAUUUGUGGGUAUUUGUUCUUUAUUUAAUAAAUCUGUUCCUGAUUCUACAUCCAAGAUAUUCUCCCAUAUUGUUUUCUAAAAAUUUUAAAAUUUUGCUCUUCACAUUUAAAUUUUUGUCCAUCUGGAAUUUACUUUUGCUUAUAUGGUGAAGUAGGAAUCUAAUUUUAUCUUUUCCCAAAUAGAAAGUUAAAUGUUUCAGCACCUCAUAAGGAUAGUCCAGCCUUUCUAAGUGUUUGAAAUGCCAUUUCUAUUAAAUACACAUUCCCUGUGUAAGUGGGUUAGUUCCUCGGCUCUCUAUACCGUUCUGUUGGUCCAUUUGUCUAUCCCUGAACCAUAACAUAACUUUAAGGUUAUUAUAGCUAAAAGCUACUCUUAGUAGUUGGUACAGUGAGUCUCCUCAUUCUUUGUCCUUGAAUUUGAUUUUUUGUUUUACAGCUUUAUUGAGAUGUAUUUAAUAAAUAACAUUUUCAAGUUGUACAAGGUGAUGAUUUGAUAUAUGUAUUGUGAAAUGAUUACCACGAUAGUAUUAGUUAACACGUCCUCAUGUUGUUACCAUCUGUGUGUGUAUGUGUUGAAAUAUUUAAGAUUUACUCUUAGCAAAUUUUAGGUAUAUAAUACAGUAUUGUUGACUAUACACUCAAGUUUGUUUUGACUCUCAUUAGUCCCUACCCUUCCAAUGUUUUAAGAUUAACUAGUUGAUUCCUAUGAAAAAUGCUAUUGAGGAGUUCCCGUCGUGGCGCAGUGGUUAACGAAUCUGACUAGGAACCAUGAGGUUGCGGGUUUAAUACCUUGCCUCGCUCAGUGGGUUAGGAAUCUGACAUCGCCGUGAGCUGUGGUGUAGGUUGCAGACUCGGCUCAGAUCCUGCAUUGCUGUGGCUCUGGCGUAGGCCAGUGGCUACAGCUCUGAUUCGACCCCUAACCUGGGAACCUCCAUAUGCCACGGGAGCGGCCCAAGAAAUGGCAAAAAAGACAAAAAAAAAAGAAAAAUGCUAUUGAGAUUGAUAAAGGCAGUGCAUCUAAAUAUAUUAAUAUGGGAGAAUUUUGCCAUUUGUAUAAUAUCAAAUCUUCCUGGUCAGAAAUGUGAUAUAUCUUUCUACAUAGGCCUCUUGAUAAAAGAUAUAUUUAUUUUAUUUAAUCUGGAUUUAUACUUUCCAUGUGAAGAUUUAUAUAUUUUUUUAGCUUUAUUAUGAGGGUUUUAUGGUGCUUGCUACAACUGCGAAUAGUAUCUUUCUGAAAACUGUGUUUUCUAACAAUUUGUUGCAGGUGUUCAGGAACCAUUUUUAAAAACAAUUUUAAAUUAGGCAACUUGUGGGAGUUCCCAUUGUGGUGCAGCAGAAACAAACCUGACCAGUAACCAUGAGGUUGCGGGUUCAAUCCCUGGCCUUGCUCAGUGGAUGGAUCUGGCCUUGCCAGGAGCUGUGCGUGGCUGUGGCUGUGGUGUAGGCCUGCAGCUCAGAGCUGGCGUGGCUGUGGCUGUGGUGUAGGCCUGCAGCUGCAGCUCUGAUGUAACCCCUAGCUUGGGAACCUCCAUAUGCCUCGGGUGCAGCC
rnacentral:lncRNA from 1 species